GUGCCAGCCGCCGCGGUAAUACGGAGGAUGCAAGCGUUAUCCGGAUUCAUUGGGUUUAAAGGGUGCGUAGGCGGACCAAUAAGUCAGUGGUGAAAACCUGCAGCUUAACUGUAGACGUGCCAUUGAUACUGUUUGUCUUGAGUAUGGUCAAGGUAGGCGGAAUGUGUAAUGUAGCGGUGAAAUGCUUAGAUAUUACACAGAACACCAAUUGCGAAGGCAGCUUGCUGGGCCAUUACUGACGCUGAUGCACGAAAGCGUGGGGAGCAAACAGGAUUAGAAACCCCGGUAGUCC
rnacentral:rRNA from 1 species